GUGAGGUCUCAUGUCUGCUUAUGCGGUGGCUCGCUGCUCAGAACAGGAUGGCAGAGAUGAGCACCACCAUCAAAAACUCAAGGACCAGUGCUGUGGGUCCAGUCAUCUGUUUCAUGGAAUUCACCAGUCUGGUAUCUUCAAAAUCCAGAAGGAUGAUGGCAGAUGGCAGGAAGGAGGAAGAGGGUAAUCUGGAAGAGUUUCCUGACCUACUCUGCUGCUGUGAUUAAACAACCACCAGGAAAUUUUGAUGACACUGUUCUCCUGAGCUCCUCCCUUUCCUCGGGGAAGAAAAGCAUUGAAACUACAAAAAUAAAGUGUUAUUUGGCUGGAGUGAGGUCUCAUGUCUGCUUAUGCGGUGGCUCGCUGCUCAGAACAGGGAACCAUUGGAGAUACUCAUUACUCUUUGAAGGCUUACAGUGGAAUGAAUUCAAAUACGACUUAUUUGAGGAAUUGAAGUUGACUUUAUGGAGCUGAUAAGAAUCUUCUUGGAGAAAAAAAGACUGGGUAUAUUUUCAAUAUGCUUUCCUUUUAAGGUCCCUCACCUGUGGAAAGUAAAGAAUGUCACUUUCUGACAGGCUCAGGAACCUCAAGUUAUGUAGGGAUCUCAAGAAGAUGGGGGAAUUCACCCAGUUCAUACAGGUGAAAUUGCUGUUGCAAAGAUUAUGAAUAUGAGAGAAGUCCAGCAUGGCUGACUUCAUCUCGUGUCUGGCCUCAGGCUGGCUGCCCUUGCUCACUCUUGGGCAUAGGCCAAGCUAGCCAUGGGAGGAAUUUAGUUUAUAGUUUAACUUUGAAGCACGGAUGAUAAUAGUCUCUCCCUAAAAUGAACCCCUUCCUUGCUCAGGGACUGAAACUACCUUUGUAUGACAAAUGAAAGCCCACAAGAUUAAGAUUAUGAGAGGGGCCUGAAUUCUGCUAAAAUGCAGGUGUAGCUGACUGAUAACAAGUCAUUGUCCCACAGCUUGCCUUUCUAUAAUCUCUUGCUUCUCAGGAGUCACAUGGCCAGAGGUCCUGAGAUUUCCAGUCCUGUGACCCCCACCCAGAGAUGGACUUAGUGCAUGAGGACCAUUUUCCACACCCCUAUGAUUUCAUCCUCAAACAAUCAGCAGCAACCAUUCCCUAGCCCCCUGCCUUCCAAAUUAUCCAUAAAAAUCCUAGCCUCUGAGUUAUUAGGGAGAUUGAUUAAUAAUCCCAGUCCUACCCCUUGGGUUGCUCUGAUUUAAUUAAACCUUCUCUACUGCAAUACCACGGACUCAGUAAAUUGGUUUUGUCUGUGCAAUGGGCAAGAAGAACAUGUUGCAUGGUUAUACAGGUACUACAAGCACAGUCUGAUGGCAAAUUAUUGGUUUUGCUUCCUGCCCUUGAUGUUUCUAAACAUCUAGUCCAAAAUUACUUGUGAAAGGUCCAGCAAAGCCAAUUUUAAAAGAGGCUAUAUGGCCAAUCACUAUUCUUUCUACACAUUAUUGCAAAUAAUCAGGCCACGGCUGGGCACGGUGGCUCAUGCCUGCAAUCCCAGCACUUUGGGAGGCUGAGGCAGGAUCACCUGAAAUCAGGAGUUCAAGACCAGCCUAGGCAACAUGAUAAAACCCUGUCUCUACUAAAAAUACAAAAUUAGCCAGGCAUGGUGGCAUGCACCUGUAAUCCCAGCUACUUGGGAGACUGAGGGAGGAGAAUCACUUGAACCUGGGAGGCAGAGAUUGCAGUGAGCUGAGAUCACACCACUGCACUCCAGCCUGGGCAAUAGAGUGAGACUUUGUCUCAAAUAAUAAUAAUAAUAAUCAGACCAAGUAUAAUGAAAUUAAAAUUUAUUUUGCAAAUAAAUUGGUCCUACUACAAUUUAUCCUUCAUAGAAAUGUGGAAACUGAAGAUAAAAAAAAUUAGGUUUCAGAAGAAAAC
rnacentral:lncRNA from 10 species